rnacentral:tRNA from 1 species
UGAUGGAGACCUGCCUUUUAAGCAGGGUGUCCGGAGUUCGAAUCUCCGGCGGGUCACCA